GAUGAAGAACGUAGCAAAAUGCGAUAAGUAAUGUGAAUUGCAGAAUUCAGUGAAUCAUCGAAUCUUUGAACGCACAUUGCGCCCGCCAGUAUUCUGGCGGGCAUGCCUGUUCGAGCGUCAUUUCAACCCUCAAGCUCAGCUUGGUGUUGGGACUCGCGGUAACCCGCGUUCCCCAAAUCGAUUGGCGGUCACGUCGAGCUUCCAUAGCGUAGUAAUCAUACACCUCGUUACUGGUAAUCGUCGCGGCCACGCCGUAAAACCCCAACUUCUGAAUGUUGACCUCGGAUCAGGUAGGAAUACCCGCUGAACUUAAGCAUAUCAAUAAGGGAGGA
rnacentral:misc_RNA from 1 species